GGAGACAGCCCUGCCUCCCGUCUUCUCAGCAAAGGCCUGGAGCUGCCACCUGUGUGCCCAGGGCCCAGUCCCUCCAGCCCUGAGCCUGCAAGCUUAGUGCAGGUGACAUUCCAAAGUCCCCUCCUCCCUCAGCUCUGAGCCCAGCUAGCCACAGUCCCCCGGCCCCUCCCAUCAUCCGCUUCUGCCCCCAGGGAUGCCUCCUUGCCUCAGUGGCCCAUCGGCUUCUCCAGGCGCCCCCCCCUCUCCCCCCGCCGUGGGCUCCGACCCCCUUGGCCGGACUGUGCUCUCUGGACCCAGUUUUUGACCGCAUCUGUCUUGCGAGCCCCUCCAAACCCUCACACCAUCAAAACUCUGGGCGGUUCUGACGCCUUCCCCUGUCUGAGACUGUUUCCUCAUCUGUUACUCAUCUGUUAAAUGGAGACAAUCAGGGCACCCUCCUUCCGGGCACCACUCAGAAAGGGGGUCUCUAAACAAAGCUGUAGCCUCUUCUUUCUGAAUGUCAACUGGAGCAGCCCGCUUCCCGGCCACCCCCCCCCCCGCCCCCCGCAGGUGUGUUGAACUGAAGGUGGCAGGUGUAGCCAAUUUUCUUUCCCAGCAUUUUCUCUCCCAGCACCUGCCCACCCCCUCCUCUAUCACCCCAGCCAUGGAAGCAUGCUUUCGUUGGGUCUGGGUCCCAAGACGCGGCCCGUGACAGCACCGCCUGCCGUUUGAUGCAUGACAAGUCAGGGGCUGGGGGGUUGCAUGGCCUCCUUACCGCGAGACUCAGCCAGCUCCGCAUCGUGGGGUCUGUCUCUUGUGACACCCCCUUUCCAGGCAGCAACGUCUGCAUUAUUGAAGCCUCUUUUGCUUGUAAGUGGCAGAGCCUGGGAAGGCCAGGGAAAGUCCUUCAGGCACAGCCGGAUCCAGGGCUCAGGUGAUAACAUCAGCUCCCUUUCUAUGUGUCUAGCUUUAUCUCCCUCCAGCUGUCGGCUUCCUUCUGUGGCUCUCUAAGGAGGGGGAGAUGUGGCUGUCGGCUGUUCCAGAUUUACUUCCUGCCAGUUGAGCAGAAAGAAAACUUCUCUGCCUCAGCAUUUCAGACAGUUCGGUGAGGUUUGACGAACACGGGUAGCCAUGGAAUCACCACGACAAUCAAGCUGCAAGGCAGCGCGUCACCCCCAGACUCCACUGCGCCGUCUGGAGCCACCCCUUCGUCCUGCUCCUGGGCAGCCACGGAGCUGAGUUCUGUCGCUACAGCUCUUCCCUGUCUCUGAACGCUGCAGAAGGGGAAUCGCAGAGGACGCAGCAUCGUGAGUCUGGUUUCCCCGGCUGGAAUUCCGGAUUCGUCUUGUCGUCAUGCACACCUUCCAUUUUAUGGCACAACGGUGCCCGGUUGUACAGCUGCACCACUUUGUUCAUUCGUUUCCCAGUUGAGGGAUAUUUGGGUUGUGCCCAGGUUUGGGCCACUAGAAAUAAAGCUUCCAUAAACA